rnacentral:tRNA from 1 species
GUUCAAGUAGUUUAACCCUAAAACAUCAGUCUUGUAAACUGAAAAGUAGAGAUUUACCCCUCUCUUAAACA